GUGCUUGGAAAAAAAAAAUGGUUGGAUCAUUUUCAAUUUUGAGAUGGUUUAGAGUAGUGGAGAGCUCGUAUUUUUAUCUAUACUAAUUGUGGGGUUAGUAUUUGGCUUAUAACUGUAGUGGUUGGCAUUACCUCAUGAUUUAAUUAUCAUCAUCGUGGCUUGGUACGGUCAACCAAAUGAAGCAAACCACGAUUCGUGAUGAUCACUUACCUAGAAUGUUGUUUUUCAUGCUUCCAGGAUUUUUGAUCAUUUAUAAUUUUGUACAACGAACCAGAUUCACGUGAUACAUGUGCAUUUUUUCCAACUUAAUGUCGCAGCACUUAUGUUUAUAUUUCAAAAUGUAGCAUGA
rnacentral:lncRNA from 1 species